rnacentral:rRNA from 1 species
GACGAACGCUGGCGGCGUGCUUAACACAUGCAAGUCGAACGAAGUGGCGAACGGGUGAGUAACGCGUAAUCAACCUGCCCUUCAGAGGGGGACAACAGUUGGAAACGACUGCUAAUACCGCAUACUGAAGGAGGUGCUUGCGUCUGAUUAGCUGGUUGGGGGGGUAACGGCCCACCAAGGCGAUGAGCAGUAGCCGGUUUGAGAAGAAGAACGGCCAAAUUGGGACUGAGACACGGCCCCGAAGCCUACGGGAGGCAGCAGGGGGGAAUCUGCCGAAAUGGACGGAAGUCUGAAGGAGCAACGCCGCGGGAGUGAUGAAGGCCUUCGGGGUGUAAAGCUCUGUUAAUCGGGACGCGGUACCGGAAUAGAAAGCCACGGCUAACUACGUGCCAGCCGCCGCGGUAAUUC